rnacentral:ncRNA from 1 species
GAUGGAACAAUAUAGACAAGGGAUGUCGGCAAAAUGGAUUCGUAACUUCGAGAAAAGUAUUAGCUCUGAGGGAUGGGCACAGGGGUCCUAGUCCUGAACCCAUCGUCUUCAGUGGACUGCUCGAGCUGCUCCUAUAGUGGGAGUGGGUCACCGCUUGUCAGCCGGGAGACGGAUUGGGAACAUUUCCUUCGGGGACCUUUCUUGCGCGUUGAACAACUAACUCAGAACUGGUACAGACAAAGGGAAUCCGAUUAUUUAAUUAAAAUGAAGUAUUGAGAUGGUCCAAAUGGAUGUUCAUGCAUUGUGAUUUCUGCCCUGUGUUCUGAAUAUCAAAGUGCUGAAAUUCUACCAAGUGCGGGUAAAUGUUUGGAGUAACUAUGACGCUCUUAAGUUAGCCAAAUUCCUCGUUAUCUAAUUAGUUAUGUGCAUGAAUAGAUUAAUGAGAUUCCCACUGUCCCUGUCUACUAUUCAGCAAAACCAUAGCCAAGGGAACAGGCUUAGCAGAAUCAACGAGGAAAGAAGACCCUGUUGAGCUUGACUCUAGUCCGACUUUAUGAAAUGACUUGAGAGGUGUAGUAUAAGUGGGAGACGAAAGGUGAAAGUUAAAUACCACGACUUUUAAUAUUAUUUUACUGAUUCCAUGAAUCGGAAGUGUGGAACUGCCCCUCUUUUUGGACCCAAGGCUCACUCUGCGGGCUGAUCCAGGUGUAAGACAUUGUCAGGUGGGGAGUUUGGCUGGGGCGGCAUAUUUUUUAAAAGAUAACACAGGUGUCCUAUGAUAAACUCAACGACAAUAUAAAUCUCUUAUGGAAUAGAAGGGUAAACGUUCGUUUGAUUCAUAUUUCCAGUACGAAUAUGGACUGUGAAACUGUGGCUUAGCGAUCCUUUAGACCUUUAGAAUUCGAAGCUAGAGGUGUCAGAAAAGGUACCACAAGGAUAACUAGCUUGUGGAAGCCAAGCGUUCAUAGCGACAGCGUUUUUUGAUCAUUCGAUGUUGCCUCUUUCUAUCAUUGUGAAGUAGAAUUCACCAAGUGUUGGAUUGUUCACCCACCAAUAGGGAAUGUGAGCUGGGUUUAGAACAUCGUGAGACAGGUUAGUUUUACCCUACUGAUGACAGUGUCGCAAUAGUAAUUUAACCUAGUAUGAGAGGUACCAUUUAUUCACACAAUUGGUCAUCGCGGUUAGUUGCAAACCCAGUGGCCUGAAGCUACCGUGUGCUAGAUCAUUACUGAAUACCUUUAAGUAGAAUCCGAGCUAAAAGUGAUGCAUACGCCAGCCGUUCUCUUGCCGACCUGCAGUAGGGACCUCGGCUCCCAAGGGCACAUGUCGUUGGCUAAGCUAUCAAGGCGGAAGAGUCGUGGUUGCCACCUUAAAUUAUAAUUUCCAUUGAGCGGUGAGUAGAAUUCUUUACAAAUGACUUUAAUAUGCGACGGGGUAUUGUAAGUAUCAGAGUGGACUUACUGCCAUGAUCCACUGAGAUUCAUCCCUUCAUCGCUCUAAUUU